AUUGAACGCUGGCGGCAGGCCUAACACAUGCAAGUCGGGCGAGCGGCGGACGGGUGAGUAAUGUAUGGGGAUCUGCCUGAUGGCGGGGGAUAACUACUGGAAACGGUAGCUAAUACCGCAUACCAUCAGAUGAACCCAUAUGGGAUUAGCUAGUAGGUGAGGUAACGGCUUACCUAGGCGACGAUCCCUAGCUGGUCUGAGAGGAUGAUCAGCCAGACUGGGACUGCGACACGGCCCAGACUCCUACGGGAGGCAGCCGUGGGGAAUAUUGCACAAUGGGCGCAAGCCUGAUGCAGCCAUGCCGCGAGGGGGAUGAAGGCUUUCGGGUUGUAAACCUGGUUCGAUGUCGAACGGGUAGGUGGAGAAGAAGCGCCGGCUAACUACGUGCCAGCAGCCGCGGUAAUUC
rnacentral:rRNA from 1 species